GGGGGGGGUCGGUGUGGGGUAGAAUGGCCGCUGCCGCCGUCACCCGCGGGACCCCGGGAGCACAGACUCCCCCUCCCCCCGGCCCCUCAGGCCGGGGGUGACCUUGCCCCCUGGAGCCCUCACCAUGAAUACCAAGGACACCACCGAGGUUGCUGAAAACAGCCACCACCUGAAGAUCUUUCUCCCCAAGAAGCUGCUGGAGUGUCUUCCUCGCUGCCCGCUGCUGCCUCCAGAGAGGCUACGGUGGAAUACAAAUGAGGUUUUCUAGGGAGGCUGGGGGUUGGGGCCCAGCAAGACCUAGUAGGCUGGAGGAGGGUGAGUGGGGGGUCUUUCCGUGUCUGUCAACACUCCUAAGUGCAGAGCACCAUUCUAAGAUCUUUGGGGAUCAUAGGAGAGGUAUAAAAAACAUGGAUCUUGGCCGGGCAUGGUGGCUCAUGCCUGUAAUCCCAGCACUUUGGGAGGCUGAGGCGGGUGGAUCAUCUGAGGUCAGGAGUUCAAGACCAGCCUGGCAAACAUGGUGGAACCCCGUCUCUACUAAAAAUACAAAAAG
rnacentral:lncRNA from 1 species